rnacentral:rRNA from 1 species
GACGAACGCUGGCGGCGUGCUUAACACAUGCAAGUCGAACGGAAAGGCCCUGCUUUUGUGGGUUUCUCGUUUGGCGAACGCGUGAGUGACACGUGUGUAACCUGCCCCUGACAGUGGGAUAACUUCAGGGAACAGCGGCUAAUAUCCGGUAUGAGCUCCUGCUGCACGGUGGUGGUUGGAAAAUUUCGGCUGUGCGGGCUGGUAUCGCGGCUUAUCAGCUUGUUGGUGGAGUAGGUGCUGACGAAGGCUUUGACGGGUAGCCGGCCUGGGAGGGGGACCGGCCACCAUGGGACUGAGAGACGGCCCAGACUCCUACGGGAGGCAGCAGUGGGGAAUAUUGCACAAUGGGCGGAAGCCUGAUGCAGCAACGCCGCGUGCGUGAUGACGGCCUUCGGGUUGUAAACCGCUUUCGACUGUGACGAAGAGGGAGUGACGGUAACGGGUAAAGAAGCACCGGCUAACUACGUG